rnacentral:rRNA from 1 species
GUGGAUUAGAUACCCUAGUAGUCCACGCCGUAAACGAUGAUGACUAGCUGUCCGGGCACUUAGUGCUUGGGUGGCGCAGCUAACGCGUUAAGUCAUCCGCCUGGGGAGUACGGCCGCAAGGUUAAAACUCAAAGAAAUUGACGGGGGCCUGCACAAGCGGUGGAGCAUGUGGUUUAAUUCGAAGCAACGCGCAGAACCUUACCAGCGUUUGACAUGGUAGGACGGUUUCCAGAGAUGGAUUCCUUCCCUUACGGGACCUACACACAGGUGCUGCACGGCCGUCGCCAACU